AUGUCACUGACUCUACUGCUGACCAUCCUGGGGCUCCUGGAUCAGGGUUCCUCAGCAGUCAUCAUCCUGACUCAGACUCCAGGAUCUCAGUCCGUUACUCCAGGACAGACUGUCUCCUUUAGCUGUAAAGCCAGUUCGCCUGUUGAUGAUUAUUUGCACUGGUACCUUCAAAAACCUGGAGCAGCUCCUAAGCUCCUGAUCUAUGAAGCUAUAACACGUUGGACUGGAGUGUCUGAUUGUUUCACUGGAAGCGGAUAUGAUAUUGAUUUCACUCUGACCAUCAGCAGCGUUCAGGCUGAAGAUGCAGGAGUUUAUUACUGUCAACAUAGUGAGAACGUCCCGUUCACACAGUGA